GGAUGUGGAUUUGAUUGUGUCAAUUCUGGAGAAAACGGUACUGGUGAGUUCAAUUUAAAGCAGCUUAUCUCUUCCACUUGAAUUGUUAACUAAAAUUUUCAGAGAUUGGCUGUAAAUUCAGUUGAUUUGGGAUGGAAUUUGGAAUUAGGGCAACUUUGUAUUUCAGAAUCCCACGGGACUGGAAGCAUAUGCUUUUGAUGCUCCUUUAGAAUGAAUAUGUAUUUCUUUUCAUAUAUCUC
rnacentral:misc_RNA from 1 species